rnacentral:rRNA from 1 species
GAACGCGAAGAACCUUACCAAAUCUUGACAUCCUUUGACAACUCUAGAGAUAGAGCCUUCCCCUUCGGGGGACAAAGUGACAGGUGGUGCAUGGUUGUCGUCAGCUCGUGUCGUGAGAUGUUGGGUUAAGUCCCGCAACGAGCGCAACCCUUAAGCUUAGUUGCCAUCAUUAAGUUGGGCACUCUAAGUUGACUGCCGGUGACAAACCGGAGGAAGGUGGGGAUGACGUCAAAUCAUCAUGCCCCUUAUGAUUUGGGCUACACACGUGCUACAAUGGACAAUACAAAGGGCAGCGAAACCGCGAGGUCAAGCAAAUCCCAUAAAGUUGUUCUCAGUUCGGAUUGUAGUCUGCAACUCGACUACAUGAAGCUGGAAUCGCUAGUAAUCGUAGAUCAGCAUGCUACGGUGAAUACGUUCCCGGGUCUUGUACACACC